ACACGCACGUGUCCAAACACGCGUCCCCAUGUCGCUCUCCUUCUCUUGUGUUGCGAAGGUGCUUACGAUUGUGUGCGCCCCGCAAGGGCAAGAAGGGGUGGUGGAGGGGGCGACGUGAUCUUAUGCCGCCCGACGCUUAUUGUGUGCGCACUGGCUCGCUUUUCUCCCCCUUUUUCUCCUCCUCGUCCUCAUCUUUUCCCUGGCAUCCCACGUCUGUUGGGAGAGUGGAGGAAGAAGUGUGUGUGUAUGGAGGUAGUAUCAGCAGAAGGGGAACCAUCGUCAGGCUACCUACGGCUGCCGGGGUAUUGGUCACGGCUCUCACAUGAAGCAACGAU
rnacentral:rRNA from 1 species